rnacentral:rRNA from 1 species
UACGAAGGGGGCUAGCGUUGUUCGGAUUUACUGGGCGUAAAGCGCACGUAGGCGGAUCUUUAAGUCAGAGGUGAAAUCCCAAGGCUCAACCUUGGAACUGCCUUUGAUACUGGGGGAUCUUGAGUUCGGGAGAGGUGAGUGGAACUGCGAGUGUAGAGGUGAAAUUCGUAGAUAUUCGCAAGAACACCAGUGGCGAAGGCGGCUCACUGGCCCGAUACUGACGCUGAGGCACGAAAGCGUGGGGAGCAAACAGG